rnacentral:rRNA from 1 species
GAUGAACGCUGGCGGCGUGCCUAAUACAUGCAAGUCGAGCGAACAGGCGAGGAGCUUGCUCCUCUGACGUUAGCGGCGGACGGGUGAGUAACACGUGGAUAACCUACCUAUAAGACUGGGAUAACUUCGGGAAACCGGAGCUAAUACCGGAUAAUAUAUUGAACCGCAUGGUUCAAUAGUGAAAGACGGUUUUGCUGUCACUUAUAGAUGGAUCCGCGCCGCAUUAGCUAGUUGGUAAGGUAACAGCUUACCAAGGCAACGAUGCGUAGCCGACCUGAGAGGGUGAUCGGCCACACUGGAACUGAGACACGGUCCAGACUCCUACGGGAGGCAGCAGUAGGGAAUCUUCCGCAAUGGGCGAAAGCCUGACGGAGCAACGCCGCGUGAGUGAUGAAGGUCUUCGGAUCGUAAAACUCUGUUAUUAGGGAAGAACAAAUGUGUAAGUAACUAUGCACGUCUUGACGGUACCUAAUCAGAAAGCCACGGCUAACUACGUG